rnacentral:rRNA from 1 species
AACGUAGGUGGCAAGCGUUAUCCGGAUUUACUGGGCGUAAAGGGUGUGCAGGCGGGGGAGCAAGUGGGGGCUGAAAUCUCCAGGCUUAACCUGGAGGGGUUAUGCCAGACUGCUGCUCUAGAGGACGAGAGAGGGGGGUGGAAUUCCGGGUGUAGUGGUGAAAUGCGUAGAUAUCGGGAGGAACACCUGUGGCGAAAGCGGCUCACUGGACCACAACUGACGCUGAGGCGCGAAAGCUAGGGGAGCAAACAGG